rnacentral:rRNA from 1 species
UACCAGCACCCCGAGUGGUCGGGACGUUUAUUGGGCCUAAAGCAUCCGUAGCCGGUUCUACAAGUCUUCCGUUAAAUCCACCUGCUUAACAGAUGGGCUGCGGAGGAUACUAUAGAGCUAGGAGGCGGGAGAGGCAAGCGGUACUCGAUGGGUAGGGGUAAAAUCCGUUGAUCCAUUGAAGACCACCAGUGGCGAAGGCGGCUUGCCAGAACGCGCUCGACGGUGAGGGAUGAAAGCUGGGGGAGCAAACCGG